GGCUCUCUGUCUGAUAUUUCAGUGCUUUUCAUCGAGUAUCAGACCUCUUUGCUUCCACACCUUCCAUUCCCUUUACACAGUGCUGAUUUCUCUCUGGCUAUUGCUCUGCUUCCCAAAACCAAGAGCUACAAAAGCUUCUAUUCACAGGUGCUGCCAGCUUGGCGUAAGUCAGACUCUGGGCUGAGAGUGCAGCACGUCCUCAGCGAUCAGCUGAGCCCUGAGCACAAGAGCAUGUGAGUUAACACUUCAUUCUGCAUCAGCCCAGCCAACAAUAUGUAGCCUGAUUUGUUAAGAACUUUUUGUGCUUGAGCCCCGAGGUAUCAUGAUGUGGCACAUAAAUGUAUCCAGUGACGUGUUUCUUCUCAGGUACUCCAGGCUUUUAAAGCUUCAUGAGAUACAUACACCAGCGGCAAACAGCCAAAGAGCUGUUCUGAAGACUGCUUAUCCACAGCUGCCAGAGCAUGACAGGUUCCUACAGCAUUUUGCUAUCAGCAGCAGCGUGGGUGAAGAAUCUGUCUGUAGCGACCACUUGUCUACUGUGUUUUCAGACACAGCACCUGAAAACAACAAACAUAAAUGCAAGAGAAAGGUGAAAUGCUUGUGUAUAAAUGUAAUACAGUCAUACAUAAUUUAG
rnacentral:lncRNA from 12 species